rnacentral:misc_RNA from 1 species
AUGGAUUUUAGUUACACUUUAAAAAUUGAAAGAUGAAUGUACCUUAGACCAAACCUAUUCUAGUAUCUCAUUCUUAGCACUCUUUUCCAGAAAACUUUACAUGUAAAUAUUUCCAUUCGUAUGAUAAGACAAAAAUUCUAUUUCACUAUUAAAAUUUCCUGAGCUAUUAUUCCUAGUCCUAGUUGCUCAUUCUUAACUAUUUAAUGGCAACUCAACACCAGGACAGAAAAACAGAAAAUUGCAAGUUUUUUAUG